GGUUGCUGUGCCAGUUCCGCUUGCGCUGGUUGAUGAACCAGUUGUUGAUCUGCUUCAGCUGUAGCCCCGUCUCCUGCACCAGCCGCGCCUUGUCCUCCUCCUAACAAACCCACACACCACACCAGAGAGAGAUCGAUUCAUGACCAUCGGUCGCAGCAGCGGAGCAAAAAUUGCAGGUAACGAAAGGGUGGUGACGAUGGUAUCUGCACUGCGGGCUGUCACUUACAGUUGGGUACGGCCAUUUCGCGUGGGCUUGCCACCAAGCCUUCAGGGUGGACGCCGUGUCUCCCGGGAGCUUCCCGGCCCUUCGCUUCCGGAGUAUCUCUUCCCUGAUGUCCACAAGCUUUUCUCUGUACCCCUGCAAGCCAGGAAUUUUGUUUAGUUCAGACAACUAACAAACAUGGUGGCAGCUGACAGAAUGGUAGUGCAGUAAGUUUUACCUGUUUAAGCUCGUGCUUCAGCUCUUGCCUGACGCGCUCGACCAAGGAUCUCUCACCCUCGGUUAGCAUCCCGAAGCCCAUGCCAUCGGACACGUCGUUUCCGUCGAACAUGUUGCUCUCGCUGUCGACCGGGUUGUCUUCAUCAUCAGACAUAGUUGCCCCGGUGCCUUCGCCAGGAGAUGCCCCUAUGUGAAGAACCAAUAUUAGCAGAACUCAGAACCGGCCAAUCUCCAACUUAUCUUAUAAGAACAGGUAUGCCUAUAUAGACAGGUUCGACAACUUAAGUCUGUAACUCUUGUAACUAUAUACUACUCCCUCUAUAAACUAAUAUAAGAGCAUUUAGAUCACUACUUUAGUGAUCUAAAUGCUCUAAUAUUAGAUUAUGGAGGGAGUAAUAUAUACUAGGAACUUAUCUUGUAAUAAAAGGUAUGCUAUAAAGACAGGUUUGACAACUUGAGUCUGUAACUAAUACUAAUAUAUAAGAACUUAUCUUAUAAGAAAAGGUAUGGCUAUAGAGACAGGUUCGACAACUUAAGUCUGUAGCUAAUACUAAUAUAUAAGAACUUAUCUUAUAAGAAAAUGUAUGGCUACAAAGAUAGGUUGGACAACUUAAGUUUGUAACUCUUGUAACUAAUACUCCCUCCGUCCGGAAUUACUUGUCAUAGAUGUAUAAAAAUGGAUGUAUCUAGAACUAAAAUGCAUCUAGAUACAUUCAUUUCUCUGACAAGUAAUUCCAAACGAAGGGAGUACUAAUAUAUAAGAAACCGAAAUGAUACUGCUAUAAAGAUGGACCUAGUAUCUCAUAGAACCUACAAGGGUGUGAAUUAUGACCUAUAUUUUCUAUCAGGGAAUGCAACAGUAGAGGAAAUAAGGGUCAAGUCAUCGAGCUCUCCCUAGUUGAAUCUUGAAAUGAUUAACUGUUUGUGUUCUAUCGCUGGGUGCAGAGAGCAGAAGUAAUAAAACCCUUCUUCUAUUUAUUUUUGCUGUGGCGGAAGAUCCCCUAAUAGGACCUACAAUUCCACUAUCUCAUAGGAAGUAAUAAAAAGUUUUGUAGCUAUGUUAGUUCAUUUUGUAACCAUGAAGUGUUCUUCAAUAUGCGAAACUUUUUUGAACCAGAGAAGGGGGCUUCUUUUCCUAUAUGAAUUGUCUGCCUUUUCGACGAGCAACAUGAAAUAUCUGAAAGGGUACCCCUUAUGUGAUGGUUCCGUAUUAUAUAGUCCGUGACUGUUGCGCGUGGAAGCUAAUUGCACUAGACGCAGUAAGAGAAGCUUUAUCAGGACAGCUUAGCUAAGAUUAUGAACGCGAGGUACCGUCAGUUCAGUUGCGUGGUUGGUGCGACACAAGGGUGUAACUGAUAAUAUCAAAAAGGGAACCGCCACAUACACCCAACUGAAAUCUCAAAAGGUAUAGCUUUAAAGCCAGGUUCAACAGCUUAAGUCUGCAAUUCUUGUAACUGAUAAUAUCAAAAAGGGAACCGGUACUACUAUAGUGGACCUAGUAUCUCAUAGGACCUACAAGGAUGUGAAUUAUGACAUAAAUUUUCUACCAGGGAAUGCAACAAUAGAGGAAAAAAAGGGUUGAGUCAUCGAGCUCUUUCGAGUUGAAUUUUGAAAUCAUUAACUACUUGUGUUAUGUGUGUAUUCGCUGGGUGCAGAGAGCAGAAGUGAUAAAACACUUCCUUUUAAAUUUUCGAGUUGUGGCUAAAGAUCCCAGAAGACGGUGUCCCCCACUCUAAGUAGCACGAUAGUCACUAUGACUAACAGUUAACAAGCAUGUAGUGUACAUAUUACACAAAAUACUCUUCCUAGAGAACUUGAGAAGCACAUAUCUUGCUGUUGAACUGAUGAACUUAAGAUGCUCUGUUCUUACCUGUAAGACUCUGUAAAGUCUGCUCGAGCUCCCAGCAAGCCAUCACCGCUUCCAUGGCGUGGACGCGCACAUGCUGCUGGAGCUGUUCCUUGAAGGAACAGAGGAGGAGCACGUAGUGUGUCUGCAACAAAAAAGGAGAGCAAAACCUUUAAGUAUAACAUAUAUAGAAAAGGCAUGGGGUCAGUCAAUAUGAUGAUGUUACAUGAGGCAGGAGGAUUGCCAUUUCCAGGCACAAGAAAAGGCUACUGCUAAGCGAAGGUACACUUGUAGUAUUUUUUGGUUUGCUUUUGUCUCUAUCGCAGAGGUGAGGCGCUUGUGGUUGAGAAAACAAAGUUGCUCACAGCUAGAGCCUGGAGCAUACUCCUAGCAAGCAGUAGUUUAUUUGCAGGUGGGAUGGGUAAUAAUCAGGUGAUGAACUAGCAUGAUAUUCGCAGCUGAAGAACCUAAGCUAAACCAAAUCCACCGGCAGAAAUUAGCGAGUACUAAUCCCAUUUAAUCUCCUAUGCAAGUUGCAACAAAUCAAACAUGUUUUGUGCAUUCGAAAAAAAGGUAAUCUGGCUAGCCCGUUUGAAACCCCAAUCCCGACACGAGCAGGGCAAUUCCAUGGCCAAAUCACAUCCAAUCCCCAAGUUUUCAAACCACAAACGCACGCACGCACGCACGCCGCGUCAAUCUGCUGCUACUGCCGGAGCACGCGCGGGGCAGCCGACGUGGCGUGAAGGAAGGGCGUCUCGUAGUAGCAGCAGCUCACCAUGAAGAGGUCGAGCUCCUCGCCGCCGGAGAGCGCGCCGGCGGGGGGCAUGGGAGGCGGGGCGCGCGCGGCGAUCUGCGCGUCGAUGCGGGGGAGCUGGUCGACGGGGGUGGCGACGCGGAGGCAGGCGACGUGCGCCUCCAGCAGCCGCUCGUACAGCGGGUGCGCCNNNNNNNNNNNNNNNNNNNNNNNNNNNNNNNNNNNNNNNNNNNNNNNNNNNNNNNNNNNNNNNNNNNNNNNNNNNNNNNNNNNNNNNNNNNNNNNNNNNNUAUUUGCAACUCGAAACAGGAACUGCGGAAUAGGCGAAGGCUGGCAAAAGAUGAAGUGACGAUGCGCGUAGGAAAUGGUUGCAAGGUUGAUGCAAUCGCCGUCGGCACAGUGUCACUUCAGUUACCGUCAGGAUUAGUGAUGAACUUAAAUCAUUGUUAUUUAGUGCCUGCGUUGAGCAUGAACAUUGUAUCUGGAUCUUGUUUAUUGCGAGACGAUUACUCUUUUAAAUCAGAGAAUAAUGGUUGUUCUAUUUCUAUGAGUAACAUCUUUUAUNNNNNNNNNNAUCUCUGGAUCUUAAGUCUGAGAAUAAUGGUUGUUCUAUUUCUAUGAGUAACAUCUUUUAUGGUCAUGCACCGAAUGUGAGAGGAUUGUUCAUAUUGAAUCGUGAUAGCGAUACACAUAUACAUAACAUUGAGACCAAAAGAGUUAGAGUUAACAAUGAUAGCGCCAUAUUUUUGUGGCACUGCCGCUUAGGUCAUAUUGGUGUAAAGCGCAUGAAGAAACUCCAUGCUGAUGGACUUNNNNNNNNNNNNNNNNNNNNNNNNNNNNNNNNNNNNNNNNNNNNNNNNNNNNNNNNNNNNNNNNNNNNNNNNNNNNNNNNNNNNNNNNNNNNNNNNNNNNAGAUAGAACUUGACGAGGUUGUCGAACCUCUCAUCCCUCUGGAUGGUGGCGCAGGGCAAGGGGAAACCUCUGUCAUUGCGACGCCGGUUGAAUUGGAAGUUGAUGAUGAUGAUCAUGAAACUCCAGUUCAAGUUUAUGUCGAACCACGCAGGUCGACGAGACCACGUGCUGCUCCAGAGUGGUACGGUAAUCCCGUCUUAUCAAUCAUGUUGUUANNNNNNNNNNGUUGCGACGCCGGUUGAGGAGGAAGUUAAUGAUGAUGAUCAUGAAACUCCAGUUCAAGUUUCUGUUGAACCACGCAGGUCGACGAGAUCACGCGCUGCUCCAGAGUGGUACGGUAAUCCCGUCUUAUCAAUCAUGUUGUUANNNNNNNNNNGUACUGCCUGAGGGCCGCAAGGCCAUUCAGAACAAAUGGAUCUUUAAGAGGAAGACGGACGCUGACGGUAAUGUGACCGUUUAUAAAGCUCGACUUGUNNNNNNNNNNGACAACAAUGAACCUGCAAAUUAUGAAGAUGCAAUGGUGGGCCCAGAUUCCAACAAAUGGCUAGAAGCCAUGAAAUCCGAGAUAGGAUCCAUGUAUGAGAACAAAGUGUGGACUUUGGAGAUACUACCUGAGGGCCGCAAGGCUAUUCAGAACAAAUGGAUCUUUAAGAAGAAGACGGACGCUGACGGUAAUGUGACCGUUUAUAAAGCUCGACUUGUGGCAAAGGGUUUUUCACAAGUUCAAGGAGUUGACUACGAUGAGACUUUCUCACCCGUAGCGAUGCUUAAGUCCGUCAGAAUCAUGUUAGCAAUAGUUGCAUUUUUUGAUUAUGAAAUCUCGCAGAUGGAUGUCAAAACGACAUUCCUUAACGGUUUCCUUAAGGAAGAGUUGUAUAUGAUACAACCCGAAGGUUUUGUCGAUCCUAAGAAUGCUAACUAGGUGUGCAAGCUCCAGCGAUCCAUUUAUGGACUGGUGCAAGCAUCUCGGAGUUGGAACAAACGCUUUGAUGAGGUGAUCAAAGCAUUUGGGUUUAUACAAGUGGUUGGAGAAUCUUGUAUUUACAAGAAAGUGAGUGGGAGCUCUGUGGCGUUUCUAAUAUUAUAUUUGGAUGACAUAUUACUGAUUGGAAACAACGUAGAGUUUUUAGAGAGCAUAAAGGAUUACUUGAAUAAAAGUUUCUCUAUGAAGGACCUAGGAGAAGUUGCUUACAUUCUAGGCAUUAAGAUCUAUAGGGAUAGAUCAAAACGCCUGAUAGGACUUUCACAAAGCACAUACCUUGAUAAAGUUUUGAAGAGGUUCAAAAUGGAACAGUCCAAGAAAGGGUUCUUGCCAGUUUUACAAGGUACGAGAUUGAGUAAGACUCAGUGCCCAGCAACUGAUGAAGAUAGAGAGCAUAGGCGCUCCGUCCCCUAUGCUUCAGCCAUAGGUUCUAUCAUGUAUGCGAUGAUGUGCACUAGACCGGAUGUUAGCCUGGCCAUAAGUAUGGCAGGUAGGUUCCAGAGUAAUCCAGGAGUGGAUCACUGGACAGCGGUCAAGAAUAUCCUGAAGUACCUGAAAAGGACUAAGGAGAUGUUUCUCGUGUAUGGAGGUGACGAAGAGCUCGCCGUAAAAGGUUACGUCGAUGCAAGCUUUGACACAGAUCCGGACGACUCUAAGUCGCAAACCGGAUACGCAUUUAUUCUUAAUGGGGGUGCAGUAAGCUGGUGCAGUUCCAAGAAAAGCGUCGUAGCAGAUUCUACAUGUGAAGCGGAGUACAUGGCUGCCUCGGAGGCGGCUAAGGAGGGUGUCUGGAUGAAGCAGUUCAUGACGGAUCUUGGAGUGGUGCCAAGCGCACUGAAUCCAAUAACCUUGUUCUGUGACAACACUGGUGCCAUUGCCUUAGCAAAGGAACCACGGUUUCACAAGAAGACCAGACACAUCAAACGACGCUUCAACCUCAUCCGCGACUACGUCGAGGGAGAGGACGUGAAUAUAUGCAAAGUGCACACGGAUCUGAUAGUCAGUUGGUCAAUGAUAGUCAGUGUCUUCUGAUUAUGAACAAGGUGUUGUUGCUUGAUAACNNNNNNNNNNNNNNNNNNNNNNNNNNNNNNNNNNNNNNNNNNNNNNNNNNNNNNNNNNNNNNNNNNNNNNNNNNNNNNNNNNNNNNNNNNNNNNNNNNNNGGGGGGGGGGGGGCAACCCACCCCGGGGAAGCCCAUAGGCCUUGGGGGAGACACACCAGCCCUUAGUGGUCUGGUGGGACAGACCACAAGUGCCCUAUGCGCCAAGGAGAAGAAAAUCAAGAGAGAAAGAAAAAAAAGGAGGAGGUGGGAAGGAAGGGGGACUCCCUCCCACCAAACCUAGUCCAACUCGGUUUGGGGGGGGGGAGAGUCCUCCCCCUUGGCUCGGCCGACCCCCUUGAGGGUCCUUGGACCCCAAGGCAAGGCCCCCUCCCUCCCACCUAUAUAUGCGGAGGUUUUAGGGCUGAUUUGAGACGACUUUUCCACGGCAGCCCGACNNNNNNNNNNAGAGGUUUUAUGGCUGAUUUGAGACGACUUUUCCACGGUAGCCCGACCACAUACCUCCACGGUUUUUCCUCUAGAUCGCGUUUCUGCGGAGCUCGGGCGGAGCCCUGCUGAGACAAGAUCAUCACCAACCUUCGGAGCGCCGUCACGCUGCCGGAGAACUCUUCUACCUCUCUGUCUCUCUUGCUGGAUCAAGAAGGCCGAGAUCAUCGUCGAGCUGUACGNNNNNNNNNNCCGGAGCGCCGUCACGCUGCCGGAGAACUCUUCUACCUCUCCGUCUCUCUUGCUGGAUCAAGAAGGCCGAGAUCAUCGUCGAGUUGUACAUGUGUUGAACGCGGAGGUGCCGUCCGUUCGGUACUAGAUCGUGGGACUGAUCGNNNNNNNNNNNNNNNNNNNNNNNNNNNNNNNNNNNNNNNNNNNNNNNNNNNNNNNNNNNNNNNNUGGAGGUGCCGUUCGUUCGGCACUAGAUCGUGGGACGGAUCGCGGGACGGUUCGUGGGGCGGAUCGAGGGACGUGAGGACGUUCCACUACAUCAACCGCGUUUCUUAACGCUUGUGCUGUGCGAUCUACAAGGGUACGUAGAUCGAAUAUCCCCUCUCGUAGAUGGACAUCACCAUGAUAGGUCUUCGUGCGCGUAGGAAUUUUUUUGUUUCCCAUGCGACGUUCCCCAACAGUGGCAUCAUGAGCUAGGUUCAUGCGUAGAUGUCUUCUCGAGUAGAACACAAAAGUUUUUGUGGGCGGUGAUGUGCGUUUUGCUGCCCUCCUUGGUCUUUUCUUGAUUCCGCGGUAUUGUUGGACCGACAUUACGCGUACGCUUACGAGAGACUGGUUUCAUCGCUACGAGUAACCUCGUUGCUCAAAGAUGACUGGCAAGUGUCGGUUUCUCCAACUUUGGUUGAAUCGGAUUUGACCGAGGAGGUCCUUGGAUGAGGUUAAAUAGCAAUUCAUACAUCUCUGCUGUGGUGUUUGCGUAAGUAAGAUGCGAUCCUACUAGAUACCCAUGGUCNNNNNNNNNNUAUAAGGUUAAAUAGCAAUUCAUAUAUCUCCGUUGUGGUGUUUGCGUAAGUAAGAUGCGAUCCUACUAGAUACCCAUGGUCACCACGUAAAACAUGCAACAACAAUUAGAGAACGUCUAACUUGUUUUUGCAGGGUAUGCUUGUGAUGUGAUAUGGCCAACGAUGUGAUGUGAUAUAUUGGAUGUAUGAGAUGAUCAUGUUGUAAUAGUUAAUAUCGACUUGCACGUCGAUGGUACGGCAACCGGCAGGAGCCAUAGGGUUGUCUUUAAACUAACAUUUGUGCUUGCAGAUUCGUUUACUAUAUUGCUAGGACGUAGCUUUAGUAGUAAUAGUAUGAGUAGCACGACAACCCCGAUGGCGACACGUUGAUGGAGAUCAUGAUGAUGGAGAUCAUGGUGUGACGCUGGUGACAAGAAGAUCGUGCCGGUGCUUUGGUGAUGGAGAUCAAGAAGCACAUGAUGAUGGCCAUAUCAUGUCACUUAUGAAUUGCAUGUGAUGUUAAUCCUUUAUGCACCUUAUCUUGCUUAGAACGACGGUAGCAUUAUGAGGUGAUCUCUCACUAAAAUUUCAAGACGAAAUUGUGUUCUCCCCGACUGUGCACCAUUGUGACAGUUCUUCGUUUCGAGACACCACGUGAUGAUCGGGUGUGAUAGACUCAACGUUCACAUACAACGGGUGCAAAACAGUUGCACACGCGGAACACUCGGGUUAAGCUUGACGAGCCUAGCAUGUGCAGACAUGGCCUCGGAACACAUGAGACCGAAAGGUCGAGCAUGAAUCGUAUAGUGGAUAUGAUUAGCAUAGAGAUGCUUACCACUGAAACUAUUCUCGACUCACGUGAUGAUCGGACUUGAGAUAGUGGAUUUGCAUCAUGUACCACUCAAAUGACUAGAGAGAUGUACUUUUUGAGUGGGAGUUCUUAAGUAAUUUGAUUAGAUGAACUAAUUGUCAUGAACAUAGUCUAAUGGUCUUUGCGAAUUACGAUGUAGCUUGCGCUAUAGCUCUACUGUUUUUAUAUGUUCCUAGAGAAAAUUUAGUUGAAAAUUGAUAGUAGCAAACUUUGCAUACUGAGUCUGUAAAACCGAGGAUUGUCCUCGUUGCUGCGCAGAAGGCUUAUGUCCUUAAUGCACCACUCGGUGUGCUGCACCUCGAGCGUCGUCUGUGGAUGCUGUGAACAUCCGACAUACACGUUUCUGAUGACUACACGAUAGUUCAGUGCAAAAUACUUAAUGGCUUAGAAGCAAGGCGCCGAAGACGUUUUUGAAACGUCACGGAACAUAAGUGAUGUUCUAAAGAGAUGAAAUUGUGAUUUCAUGCUUGUGCCCUUGUUAAGAGGUACGAGACCUCCAACAAGAUUCUUCGUCCACAAAGUAAAGGAGAAAAGCUCAAUCGUUGAGCGUGUGCUCAGAUUGUCUNNNNNNNNNNACAAAAAUACUUAAUGGCUUAGAAGCAAGGCGCCGAAAACGUUUUGAAACGUCACGAAACAUAAGUGAUGUUCUAAAGAGAUGAAAUUUUGAUUUCAUGCUCGUGCCCUUGUUAAGAGGUACGAGACCUCCGACAAGAUUCUUUGUCCAUAAAGUAAAGGAGAAAAGCUCAAUCGUUGAGCGUGUGCUCAGAUUGUCUGAGUACGACAAUCGCUUGAAUCAAGUGGGAGUUAAUCUUCUAGAUGAGAUAGUGAUGGUUCUCCAAAGUCACUGCCACCAAGCUGUGAGAGCUUCGUGAUGAACUAUAACAUAUCAAGGAUAGAUACAAUGAUCCUUGAGCGAUUCGCGAUGUUUGACACUGCAAAAGUAGAAAUCAAGAAGGAGCAUCAAUAGUUGAUGGUUAGUAAAACCACUAAGUUUCAAGAAAAGCAAGGGCUAGAAGGGAUACUUCGUGAAACGGCAAAACAGUUGCUGCACUAAUGAAGAGACCCAAUAUUAAACCCAAACCCGAGACUAAGUGCUUCUAUAAUGAGGGGAACAGUCACUGAGGCGGAGCAACUCUAGAUACUUGGUAGAUAAGAAGGAUGGCAAAAGUCGAAAGAAGUAUAUUUGAUAUACAUGAUGUUGAUGUGUNNNNNNNNNNGAAAGUAGAAAUCAAGAAGGAGCAUCAAUAGUUGAUGGUUUGUGAAACCACUAAGUUUCAAGAAAGGCAAGGGCUAGAAGGGAUACUUCGUGAAACGGCAAAACAGUUGCUGCACUAAUGAAGAGACCCAAGAUUAAACCCAAACCCGAGACUAAGUGCUUCUGUAAUGAGGGGAACAGUCACUGAGGCGGAGUAACUCUAGAUACUUGGGAGAUAAGAAGGCUGGCAAAAGUCGAAAGAAGUAUAUUUGAUAUACAUGAUGUUGAUGUGUNNNNNNNNNNNNNNNNNNNNNNNNNNNNNNNNNNNNNNNNNNNNNNNNNNNNAGUUGCUAAGUGAUUAGUAACACGAAAUAAUAGCUACGGCAUAAACGGAGACUAGCUAAAGGCGAGGUGACGAUACGUGUUGGAAGUGUUUCCAAGGUUGAUAUGAUCAAAACGUCGCACACUCCCUCUACUAUCGGGAUAGGUGUUAAACCUAAAUAAUUGUUAUUUGGUGCUUGCGUUAAGCAUGAACAUGAUUGGAUCGUNNNNNNNNNNGGUUGCUAAGUGAUUAGUAACACGAAAUGAAAGCUACGGCAUAAACGGAGACUAGCUAAAGGCGAGGCGACGAUACGUGUUGGAAGUGUUUCCAAGGUUGAUAUGAUCAAACGUCGCACGCUCCCUCUACCAUCGGGAUUGGUGUUAAACCUAGAUAAUUGUUAUUUGGUGCUUGCGUUAAGCAUGAACAUGAUUGGAUCGUGUUUAUUGCAAUACGAUUAUUCAUUUAAAGAGAAUAAUGGUUACUCUAUUUGCUUGAAUAAUCACCUUCAAUGGUUUAUUGAAUCUCGAUCGUAGUGUUACACAUGUUCAUGAUAUUGGUGCCAAAAGGAUACGAGGUAAUGAUGAUAGUACCACUUACUUGUGGCGCUGCCGCUUGAGUCAUGUUGGUGUAAAUUGCAUGAAGAGGCUCCAUGAUGAUGGAUCUUUAUACUCACUUGAUUUUGAAUCACCGGUGACAUGCAAAUCAUACCACAUGAGCAAGGCCUUGUUUUCAUUGAGAUGAAACAAGAUAGUAACUUGUUGGAAGUGAUGCAUUUUGAUGUAUGCAAUCCAAUGGGUGUUGAGGCACGCAGUGGAUAUCAUUAUGUUCUUACUUCAAUGACGAUUUGAGUAGAUACAAGAGUAUUUACUUAAUGAAUCACAAGUCUGGAAUAUUGAAAAGUUCAAUUCUGUUUCAGAGUGAAGUUCGUCGUAACAAGAGGAUAAACUGUCUAUGACAUGAUCAUAGAAAUGAAUAUGUGAGUUACGAGUUUUGGUACGCAGUUAAGACAAUGUGGAAAUUGUUUCGCAGUUCAUGCCACCUGGAACAUCAUAGUGUGAUGAUGUGUCUUAACGUCAUAGCCACGCACUAUUUGGUAUGGUGCAUGCUAUGAUGUCUGUUAUCGAAUUACCACUAUCGUUUAUGGGUUAUGCAUUAGAGACAACCGCAUUCACUUUAAAUAGGGCACCGCGUAUUUCUGUUGAGAUGACACAGUAUAGACUGAGGUUUAGAGAAAUCUAAACCGUCGUUUCUUGAAAGUUUGGGGCUUCGACACUUAUGUGAAAAGGUUUCAGUCUGAUAAGCUCGAACCCAAAGCGGAUAAAUGCAUCUUCAUAGGAUAUCCAAAACAGUUGGGUACAUCUCCUAUCUCAGAUCCGAAAGCAAAGUGUUUGUUUCUAGAAACAGAUUCUUUCUCGAGGAAAGGUUUCUCUCGAAAGAAUUGAGUGGGAGGGUGAUAGAACUUGAUGAGUUUAUUGAACCAUCACUUCGACUAGUGUGUAGCAGGGCACACGAAGUUGUUCCUGUGGCGCCUACACCAAUUGAAGUGAAAGUUGAUGAUGGUGAUCAUCGAGCAUCGAAUCAAGUUACUACAAAUCUCGUAGGUUGACAAGGUCGCGUACUACUGCAGAGUGGUACGGUAACCNNNNNNNNNNAGGGUGGUAGAACUUGAUGAGGUUAUUGAACCAUCACUUCAACCAGUGUGUAGCAGGGCGUAGGAAGUUGUUCCUGUGGCGCCUACACCAAUUGAAGUGAAAGCUGAUGAUGGUGAUCAUCGAGCAUCGGAUCAAGUUACUACAAGCCUCGUAGGUUGACAAGGUCGCGUACUACUGCAGAGUGGUACGGUAACCCUGUCUUGGAGGUCAUGUUGUUGAGCAACAAUGAACCUACGAGUUAUGAAGAAAGCAAUGGUGGGCCCGGAUUCCGACAAAUGGCUGGANNNNNNNNNNNNNNNNNNNNNNNNNNNNNNNNNNNNNNNNNNNNNNNNNNNNNNNNNNNNNNNNNNNNNNNNNNNNNNNNNNNNNNNNNNNNNNNNNNNGGAAGAACUACUUGAUGGUCAUAGGACUAUUUAGUAAAGACGGAUCUCUAAAAGGAAGACAGACGAUGAUGGUGAUAAGUCACUAUUAAGAAAAGCUUGACUUGUCGCAAAGAUGUUUUCCGACAAGAUCAAACAGUUGACUAUGAUGAUACUUUCUCACUCGUAGCGAUGCUAAAAGUCUGUUAGAAUUAUGUUAGUAGUUGAUGCAUUAUUUAUGAAAUAUUGCACAUAGGAUGUCAAAACAUUGUUUCCUCGACGGUUUCCUUGAGCAAACAUUGUAUGUGAUACAACCAUGAGGUUUUGUCGAUCCUAAAGAUACUAACAAGUAUGCAAGCUCCAGCGAUCCUUCAAUGGACUGGUGCAAGCAUCUCNNNNNNNNNNUUAAGAACUACUUGAUGGUCAUAGGACUAUUGAGUAAAGAUGGAUCUUUAAAAGGAAGACAGACGACGAUGGUGAUAUGUCACUAUUAAGAAAAGCUCGACUUGUCGCAAAGAUGUUUCCGACAAGAUCAAAUAGUUGACUAUGAUGAGACUUUCUCACUCGUAGCGAUGCUAAAAGUCUGUUAGAAUUAUGUUAGUAGUUGCUGCAUUAUUUAUGAAAUAUUGCACGUAGGAUGUCAAAACAUUGUUUCCUCGACAGUUUCCUUGAGCAAACAUUGUAUGUGAUACAACUAGGAGGUUUUGUCGAUCCUAAAGAUACUAGAAAGUAUGCAAGCUCCAGCGAUCCUUCAAUGGACUGGUGCAAGCAUCUCGGAGUUGGAAUAUACACUUUGAUGAGAUGAUCAAAGAUUUUGGGUUUGUACAAGGUUUAUGAGAAACUUGUAUUUCCAAAGAAGUGAGUGGGAGCACGAUAGAAUUUCUGAUAAGUAUAUGUGGUUGACAUAUUGUUGAUCAGAAGUAAUGUAGAAUUUCUGUGAAGCAUAAAUGGUUGUUUGAAAGGAGUUUUUCAAAGGAAUACCUGGAUUGAGCUACUUGAACGUUGAGCAUCAAGAUCUAUGGAUAUAGAUCAAAACGCUUAAUAAAAGUUUCAACAAGAUGCAUGCCUUGACAAGUUNNNNNNNNNNGAUAGAUAAAAACGCUUAAUUGAAGUUUCAACAAGAUGCAUGCCUUGACAAGUUUUUGAAGGAAUUCAAAAUAGAUCAGCAAAGAAGGAGUUCUUGACUGUGUUGUAAGGUGUGAAUUUGAGUAAGACUCAAAACCCAACCACGGCAGAAUAAAGAGAAUAGACGAAGGUCGUCUUCUAUGCCUUAGUCGUAGACUCUAAAAUAUGCCAUGCUGAGUACCGCACCUGCUGUGUGCCUUGCAGCAAGUCUGUUAAGAGGUACACAGAGUGAUCCAGGAUUGAAUCACUGAUCAGCGGUCAAAUUUAUCCUUAGUAACUAAAUAGACUAAGGAAUUUUUCUCGAUUAUGGAGGUGGUUAAAGAGUUCGUCGUAAAGGGUUACGUCGAUGCAAGCUUUGACACUAAUCCGAAUAACUAUGAGUAGUGAAACGGAUUCGUAUAGUAGAGUAGAUAUUUGGAGCAUUUCCGAAUAGCACGUAGUAGCAACAUCUAUAAGAUGACAUAAAGAUUUGUAAAGAACGCACGGAUCUGAAAGUUUCAGAACCGUUGACUAAAACCUCUCUCACGAGCAAGACGUGAUCAGACCCCAAAACUAUAUGGGUGUUGGAUUCGUUAAAAUCACAUGGUGAUGUGAACUAGAUUAUUGACUCUAGUGCAAGUGGGANNNNNNNNNNCUCUAACGCUUCUGAUGUACGGUCUACAAGGGUACGUAGAUCUCUCAUCCCCUCUCGUAGAUGGACAUCACCAUGAUAGGUCUUCGUGCGCGUAGGAAAUUUUUUGUUUCCCAUGCGACAUUCCCCAACACUUUAACCUUCUCAUAACAUAUAUUGAUGACUUCAUGUUAUCCUUUGAAUUACUCACUUUGGCGGUCACAGUUUGAUUAUUGCAGUGCAUAAGAACACCCGACACAGGUUUCUCAACAACCGGUAAGUCACUCACCCACCAUCAUCAUUUCUCAAGAGCCGGCGAAGCCAAUCAGCUUUGAACGUAGUUGUAUCUAGUGAUGUGAGUUCUGUUUCCAUUGUUAACCUCAUUAAGAUGGUAUAAUUGCAAGACUUCCAAGAAACAAUGCCACCUCCAUGAGUGAAUACAUACCUGCUCGUGGCCUUUAUCUCAUCAGCACCACAUAUCUAGUUUGUGUCACUAUACCCUUCAAGUACAUUUGGCUAACCAAUGUAGUGAAUUCCAUAACUCGUAGUGCCUUUCAAAUAAUGCAGAAUUCUUUCAACGGCUUUCCAAUGAACAUCUCCUGGGUAUUAGACAAACCGACUCAGUUUGCUAAUAGCAAAAGAGAUGACGGGUCUCAUAGCGCUGGCUAAAUUGAUAAGUGAGCCAAUAAUUUGAGAGUAUUUCAAUCGGUCUCUAGCAAUUCUUUGAUUCUUUAGAAGCAACACGCUAGCAUCAGAUGGUGUUCGAGAGGGCUUGCAGUCACUAGAACCAAAGCGACUCGAGAUUUUUUUCCAUAUACUGAGAUUGAAGCAAUGUAAUCCCACCAUCAUCAUCUCUCAAGAGCUUGAUGUUCAGAAUAACAUCAGCUACUCCUAAAUCCUUCAUCUGAAAACAACAAGAUAGGAACUCCUUGACUUCCUUAAUAACAUUUAGAUUUAUUCCAAAAAACAAUAUGUCAUCAACAUACAAGGAAAGGAUAACUCCAUCGCCACCACAAUGGAGAUAUUACACACAUUUGUGAGCUCUGUUUACAACAAAGCAUGCAUUUGUUAGAGUUCUUUAAAACUUUUCAUGCCAGUGCUUAGGUGCUUUCUUAGGUCCAUACAAAGACUUCAACAACUUGCACACAUUUCCUUCCUAACCGUCCACUAUAAACCCAUCUGGUUGUUCCAUGUAUAUUUCCUCGUCCAACUCUCCAUUUAGGAAAGCAGUUUUAACAUCUAUUUGAUGAACGAGAAGACCAUGUGAGGUAGCUAGUGAAAGUAGUACUCGAAUGGUGGUCAGUCGAGCCACAAGUGAGUAAGUAUCAAAGACGCCUUUACCUUCCUUUUGGGUAUAACCCUUGGCCACGAGUCGUGUCUUGUAUUCCUCAAUAUUACCAUUAGGCCUAAGCUUCUUCUUGAAUACCCAUUUGCGAUCUAUAGGUUUGCACGCAUAAGGACGACCAAUGAUCUCCCAAGUUUCAUUUGCCAGGAUGGAAUCCAUCUCACUACGAACUACUUCCUUUGAGUGGUCAGCAUCUUCAGAUAAAUAGUCCUCGGAAAUAGAACUGGGAGUGUUAUGAGAUACACAAGAAAAUCAUCUCCAAAGGACUUUGCAGUCCUCUGUCUCUUGCUCCUUUUAUGAUUCUCAUUAUUGUCCUCCAUAUGCUCUUCAAGAUGUCACAUCAGAAUAGUAGGUUCAUGACAUGACAUGCAGUCAAUAUCGCUUCCCCCCACCAAGCCUUGGAGAAACCCAAUAUGUCUAACUUGGCGUUAACUAAAUCAUUUAACAAACUCACGAGGGCGCCCCAGGCUUUUUGCCACCUCGUGGCUCCUCGGGUCUUCUUCCGAGGUUCCCCGGGUCUCUUGUGGUCCACAAAAAAUCAUCAAAAAGUUUCAUUGUGUUUGGACUACGUUUGGUAUAGAUUUUUCGUAGAAGUCAAAAACACGCAAAAAACAGGAACUGGCACUGGGCACUAGGUUAAUGGGCUAGUUUCCCAAAAUGAUGUAAAAUAGCAUAUUAUUGCAUAUAAAGUAAACAAUAUUGGUAAUAUAAUAGCAUGAAACAAUCAAAAAUUCUAAAUAUGUUGGAGACGUAUCAGCAUCCCCAAGCUUAAUUCAUGCUUUUCCUCGAGUACGUAAAUGACAAAAAAAUGAUGUGGCAUGCUACCCAACAUGUAAUCUCUUUCAGGUGUAAUUGUUGAGAAAUGGUGGAGUAAUUGAUAUCAAAAUAAUAAUAUCCAUGAAUAUAAGAAUCAUAAUCAGUACUUUUUCAAAAUAUACUAUCCUUAAAGAAUGUUAUCCCUACUCAUUUGAUCAUGUUAGCAUGAUAUGACUCCGUCUUCACCGCAUAAGUAUAAAUCAUGAGCUCACGUGUGUCAAACCAGGUGAUACGUCCAUUUUGCAUCAUGAUUUCCUAUUAAUAUUUAUGUUAUUCUUGGUCAUUUUUCCAAUUUAUGAUACAAUUUUUAUGCCUUUUCUCUCUCUAUUUACAAGGUACAUCACAAAGAGGGAAAUCGUUGGGAAUUAGAAUUCUAGACCUAAAACCAAGAAAACGGGUGAAAAUACUUGACUCCAAAUGACCUGAAACUUCACAGAGAAUUUUUAUGGAAUAUAUAAUAAUUAUUGGUCCCAAAAUACACUAGACGGAGCCACCUACUGGCCAUAAGCUAACAAGGCGCCCCCUAGGCAUGCCGUGUUAGCUUAUGGGGCCUACGUAGGUGCCCUGGGCCCCUCGUCUCCUAUAAGGUGUGUUUUGAACAAGAAAAAAUCAAGAGGAUACUUUUGGGAUGAGGGGCCUCCAUAUUGAGGCAUAAAAUUGGGCACAGCCCCUUUUGCUCUCCGACAUAGAGAUUCUGUCGGGGAAACUUUUCUUCGAGAGGGGGAGGUCAAAGGCAUCCUCAUCACCAAUGCUUCCUCCUUUGUGGGAGAACCAAUCUUCAUCAACAUCUUCAUGAGCAUCGUCUGAUCUCAAACCCUAAUUCAUCACUUGUACUCACUCUUUGUCUCAAAACCUUAGAUUGGUACAUGUGGGUUACUAGUAGUGUUGAUUUCAUCUCAUAGUUGAUGUUUGUUGGUUUAUUUGGUGGAAAACAUUAUGUUCAAAUCCAUAAUCAUAAUUAUUACACCUCUGAUCUUGAACAUGUUGAUGAUGUGUGAGUAGUUACUUUUGUUCGUGAGGACAUGAGAGAAGUCUUGUUAUAAGUAAUCAUGUGAAGUUGGUAUUCGUUCGAUAUUUUGACGAUAUGUAUGUUGUUCCUUCUCUUAGUGGUGUUGUGUGAAUGUCAACUACAUGAAAUUCACCAUAUUACGGGUCGAAGGGAAGGAAUUGUGGAGUAAUAAUUAGAUGAUGUGUUGCUAGAGUGACAAAAGCUAGCUUAAACCCUUGUUUAUGCGUUAUUUUAUAAGGGGCUGAUUUUGAUCCACAUGUUCAUGCUAUGGUUAGAUUUAUCUUAAUUCUUCUUUCGUAGUUGCGGAUGCUUGCGACAGGGGGUAAUCAUAAGUGGGUUGUUUGUUCAAAUAAGAACAACACCUUAGCACCGGUCCACCCACAUAUCAAAUUAUCAAAGUCACGAACGCGAAUCAACUCAACAUGAUGAACAUGACUAGACAGAAAUUCCCAUGUUUCCUCGUGAGCGCUUGCUUCAUAUAAGAGUACUUUUAGACCUGUCCUUUUCUAUUAAAAUGAUUGGGAUAUCUUGUUGCACACUUGCUACUAUUUUUACUUGACACUUAUUACAAAUUAUCUUGCUACAAAACUAUCUAUUGUUGUUACUCACAACACUUGCAGAGAAUACCUUGGUGAAACUGCUUAUUUUUUCCUUCUGCUCCUCGUUGGGUUCAACACACUUAGUUACCGACAGGACUAUGAUUGAUCCCCUAUACUUGUGGGUCAUCAAGGCUCUUUUCUAGCACCGUUUUUGGGGUGUGAGGCGCCUUUGGUUAGAGGGAUUUGAUAAGGAAACAUGUUCGAUGCGAGCUGAAAUUUACUGUUGCUUGCUACUAUGGAUAGUAGCCAUUUGAAUGGUUCGUUUGAGGCAUCUUUGCCUCGAACGGAAGUGGAAAAAGGCACUUCUCAACCUACUGAAAAUAUUUAUUAUCAGAUUCCUUCGUUUAUGCUAGAGAAACUGCUAGCUAAUCCUUAUGCAUGACACGAUACAACUCAUCCUCAUUACCACUUGAUAUAUGUAGAUGAGAUUUUUGUAUUAUUUAAUCUUGCAAGUUUAUUCCAGGACAAAGUCAAUAAGAAGGUUUUCCCUUUAUCUUUGUAGGGAAAAGCAUUGAUGUUGUAUAAGAUAUUGGAUGAUAUUUGUAUUGACCAUUCUCAAAAUGAUUCAAGCCUGUGUGUAUCUACGCUAUCCCUGAAUUGGUAUGCUAGCACACACAGUACAUCAAUGUAUAUAUCAAAGUACAACCACAUGUAAUUAACGUUCAACUGAUAUAUACAUCAUGAGUCGCAACGAAAACAUUAAGGGUGUCGAGUCCCAUCAACGCCAAUGACAAGUUGAUGUGGGCCGUAACACUAAACUGUACUCUUACUCGUCGUAGAAGAAUCUCCUGCAAUAUGAUAUGUUGCAGCCGUAUAGGUCACUACAUUGAAUGUACCGGCAAGAUCGCAAUAAGAGAAAGCAGAUGAUACGACUAUUAUAUAUGCAAUAAUGAUUUGUCACUUUGUGUCUGUUUUGCAUAAAAGUUGAUUUAUUUUUGUUUUGGAAUAUCAGGAGUCUUCACUAUAGAGUUAUCUACCAUGACAUGGUUCCACCGACCGAUGUCUCAUAACCCACAAGUAUCAUAAGUUGCCCACAUUUAGUUAUCAAUCCGGUGUUGAGGGUUCGGAGAUGGAUCCAAGUCCAGAGACUCAAAUUGUCCGUAACCGGGGACAUGGCUAAUCGAUUAGGUUUUAACUCUACACACGUUUGCACACUUUACCGACAAGAUACGUUUCCCUCCUUGUAAGUCCUCGCACUGCGAGGUGUUUGAGGACAAGACAGAUGAAACAUGGUCUUUCAAAGAGUUUCCCUGACCCACAGCAGUGCCAAUCCAGUCCUAACGUCGACUACAUCUCGUACCACUGAUCCGGCCAAAGUCACCACAAAGAUCGACCAAGCCAGAACCCAUAUUGACUUUUCGUUUCACACGUAAGCAUCCAGGCAUGAAGUAUUCUUCCUUCUCUAUGAGUCCAUACCCAGCUCACUAGGCUAAUCCCACAUGGUAGAUCUCCGGGGAGACGUGGCUAUCCCACAUGGUAAACCUCCGGGGUGUCGUUUGAUCCAUUCCACCCAGUAGUGUGUAUUGAAAUAUUGUCUUGAGUCUUGAAGUCUUGAGGUCCUAAAGAUGGCAUCCCUGAAGAUGCCAUCAUGAAGUUGUCGUCAUUGAUGUAAGUCCUCCUUGUCACGCCACUCACGAUCACUCAUACCAAAACCCCGUCUACUAUAGAGUAAAAAUUAAAAUAAAUAACAUCUCGGGGCUUGAUAAUAGGGAGAUGGGUUCCUACCUCAUGCAUUAUACUCAACUACAAGAAGUCAAUACCACUAUGGGGGGUUGUUGUACUGUGACACUAAAUGCAAUAAAAUCAUAGGUAUGAAUAAAAUGGUCAAAGUGAACUUGCAUGGUAAAUUUAUGAAGAUAAUAAUGCUCUCAAAAAAUAACUUGGUAGAACUAUUCGUCACUCUCCGAUGAGAAUAUGUAUAGUCAAACAUUCCAUUCAUAUAAGCAAAUAAUUCUAGCAAUCAAUACAAUCAACUAAAAAGCAAAAAUAAUUACUAACAACUCUAGUAUUGAGAUGAAUGAAAUACUGAAGACAAAAGUUAAAACAACAAAACAUCAUCAAACAAACCAAGAAUAGUUUUCCUACAGUUAACCUAUUAUCAACAGCAACAAAGCAACAAAAUAAAACAAUAGUUAUUUCAGUGAAUACUUUACUAGCAAAAAGAAUUACAUUUGAAGAAGAAAAUAAAGAAAACUUUGAAUAGUAACACCCCAAAUAAUAUAAAUUUUUGUCCUAAUAAUACACAAGAGCAAAGAAAACACUAAAAAUAAAACUUUAACAAAAACACUAAAAUAUAAAACAACUAAAUAAACAGAACGUAUUUUUCAUAAAAUUUUGUUACCGAAAAGAAUUAAUUUCAAAGCUUUUAUCAAACUCUACUUAUGACCUAAACAAGGUUAACCUUGAAUUAAACAAAAAAAAUCAAAUUUAAUAGAAAUUAUUUCUGAUCCAAAAUAAAGUUAACAAAAUUAAAACUUAUACAACAAGUUAUUGAAAAUAUUUUCCAAAAGAAUUUAAUAAGCAUUGAUAUCAAUUUCAAGUUAUUUAUUAAACUAGAAUUGAUUCCAUGCAAAUCACGCUUAAAACAACAAACACUAAAAUAAAAAAUAAUUUUGUUGAGAAGCUUUUUAUACUUAAAAAAAAACUUAAAACAAUUGGUCACAAGCGGCAAAAGGAAUUAAUUUAAAAAUAUUUAAAACAAAUAAAUUAAAGGCUAAAGCAAGCAUAACUAAACAAUACUAUUUUUGGUAUAAAACCCUAAUUUAAACUAUUCUAAAAUUUAUAAAAUUAAACCUUCUUAUAAAUAAAGUCCCAAGGAACUAGUACAAAAGGGAGUCAACUCAAAACCUAUAUUUAAACAAAAGUUAUUCAUAAAAUAGUGAUUCAAACAAAUUUCAAUGAAUUCAAAUUUAAAGUACAUAAAUUUGAAAACUACUCGAACUAACAGAAAGUUUAUAAUAUUUGUGACCUAAUACAGAAAUAUUCAGUCAAACCUAUUUAAAACAUAAAAGAUAAAGCAAAAAACAAAAAGAGAAACUAUUAUGUUUUUAAAGUACAAACAAAAAAGAGAAAAAAACUAGCGAACACUAGGCCACGUGGCACGCUGUGAUAGGCCUACAGGUGUGCGCGUGUGGUGCAACACAGCGGACAACCCAGCUUUAAAAAGGAAACAUUUCGCAAUAAGUGAUCUAAUCUAGAGCGUUGAUCCAGAUCCAACGGUGGGGAAGAAGUCGUCGGCACUUACAGUGGGGAAAGAAGGUCCGGCAAGGGCUUGACGGCGGCGGGGCUUCACGCAACGAUGUGGGUGGCGUCUUUGGUGGUCGUCGACGGCGGUGGACAGAUCCAGUCAAUGGCGUCAAGGCUCUAACGCCGAUUGGUGGCGUGAUACGUCCAUUUUGCAUCAUGCUUUCAUGUUGAUAUUUAUCGCUUUUUGGGCUAUUAUUACACUUCACGAUACAAUACUCCUCUCAUCGGAGGGGACUCAUCACCAUCAACAUCUUCAUCAGCACCAUCUAAUCUCCAAACCCUAGUUCAUCUCUUGUAACCAAUCUCCGUCUCGUGACCCCGAUUGGUACUUGUAAGGUUGCUAAUAGUGUUAAUUACUCUUUGUAGUUGAUGCUAGUUGGAUUACUCGGUGGAAGAUUAUAUGUUCAGAUCCUUGAUGCUAUUCAAUACCUCUCUGGUCAUGAACAUAAUUAUGCUUUGUAAGUAGUUACUUUUGUUCCUGAGGACAUGGGAUAAGUCAUGCUAUAAGUAGUUAUGUGAAUUUGGUAUUCGUUUGAUAUUUUGAUGCGUUGUAUGUUGUUUCUCCUCUAGUGGUGUUAUGUGAAUGUCGACUACAUAACACUUCACCAUUAUUUGUGCCUAGAGGAAGGCAUUGGAAAGUAGUAAGUAGAUGAUGGGUUGCUAGAGUGACAGAAGCUUAAACCCUAGUUUAUGCGUUGCUUCGUAAGGGGCUGAUUUGGAUCCACUAGUUUAAUGCUAUGGUUAGACUUUGUCUUAAUUCUUAUUUCAUAGUUGCGGAUGCUUGUGAGAGGGGUUAAUCAUAAGUGGGAGGUUUGUCCAAGUAAGGGCAGCACCCAAGCACCGGUCCACCCACAUAUCAAACUAUCAAAGUAGCGAACGUGAAUCAUAUGAACAUGAUGAAAACUAGCUUGACAGAAAUUCCUAUGUGUCCUCAGGGAGCGCUUUACCUCCUAUAAGAGUUUGUCCAGGCUUGUCCCUUGCUACAAAAGGGAUUGGGUCACUUUUCUGCACCUUUGUUACUAUUGUUACUUGCUACUUGCUACGAAUCAUCUUAUCACACAACUAUCUGUUACCGAUAAUUUCAGUGCUUGCAGAGAAUACCUUGCUGAAAACCACUUGUCAGAUCCUUCUGCUCCUCGUUGGGUUCGACACUCUUACUUAUCGAAAGGACUACGAUAGAUCCCCUACACUUGUGGGUCAUCAUGGCAUCGGCGUCGGUAGGGGUGGUCGGAGACGAAUGGGGGUUGCUCUGCGAGGUCCGGCGGUGGCAAGAGCUCCGGAGAGGUAGUGUGACGGCGGCGGUGCGUGGGAGAGAGGUUCUAGGGGAACGGGGUGCGAAGAGAUCGGGCUUUAUGCCGGGGUUGCGGGUGAUAGAGCGGCAAGGGAGCGCGGGGAUCCAAUCGGAAUCAGCGAUCUCCGGCCAAGGCAAGAGCUCGGGCACAAUGAAGGAAGGGGAUGACCGCGUUUGGCUCGGGAUUGGGCAAGGCCCACGCGUCAGCGGGAGAGAGAGAGAACACGCAAUGGGAUCGACGGCCCAUUCGAUACAAAUUCGGAUCGGGUGGCGAAAUUUGGGCCCGAUCUGCUUCGCUAGGCCGCGCCACACGUUUCCUAAUAAACAAUGUUUUCCUUAAGAAACAUGUUUCCCCUUUUAUUUAAGAAUAGAAACAUAAAAGAUAAACAGGAAAAUGAAAAUAAUUCCAAAUAUAUAUAUAUAUAUAUAUAUAUAUAUAUAUGUGUGUGUGUGUGUGUGUGUGUGUGUGUGUGUGUGUGUGUGUGUGUGUGUUUUAUACUGAAUUGAUCAGAAAAAGAGAGUGGCCAGAGUAACAUUUUUCCACGGCCAAAAGAAAUAUUCUAAAAAUUGAUUUUUCUGAGAAUACCCAAAAUGGAUUUGAAAUCCUAUUCAAAUAUUUUCAAAAUACCCCUGGCUUUACUAGUCAAAUGCCUUUCAAAAAAUACCCUUGAAAUGGAGGGUCAUGUUUCUCCUCUCACUUUAUAAAUAUUCUCACAGGUUUUUUUGAAAUUUGAAAAUUCACAUAACUUCAAAUGGAAACCUUGGGUUUCAUAAAACUUCCAAAGGGAUUUCAAAAUCAUUUCUUUGAAACGUCCAACUCUCUUUCUUUUGAUUUGAAGAAGUCGUCUUAUCUCCUCUCUUGAAACUCCUUGAGUUGCAUAUAGUUUGUGUAAUUGAAAUGUUUCCAAAAUGGAAUUCAAAUCUUUUCAAAUCCCUUUUCAAAAAACUGGAAGAAGUCAUUUCGUCUUCUCUCUAGGUUUUGUAUUUGAAAUGGAUUCAAGUAUAGGAGGGCAAAUACAAAGUGAAAGUUUUGGGGAAGGUCAUGUUAUUCUCUCUCAUUCAAAGGUUUCAAAAAGUUUCAAAUUUCACUCAAUUUCAAUAAAUCACUCAAGCAAGCAAAAUAUAUAAUUGAUUAAUAUAACAUUUUAAAAUUUGGGAUGUCACAAACCUACCACACUUAAAAUGAAUCUCGUCCUUGAGAUUUGAAGAGGUUGGGAAGAAAAGGUUAGAGUUUUGGGGGGUCUUCUAGCAAAUCCGUUGGUCUUCACAAAAGGUCUCUAAUAUGUUCAUGGAAUAAAAAAUGUCUAUGGUUUUAUUUUAAAAAUAUGGGUUUAAAAAGUUUCACGAAAGUGUAAAUAAAAAGUAAAGAAAGUAAAAAUAACGAAUUGUGAAAAACAUUCAUCGAUUUUGAAAAAAGGUUAAUUUAUUUUGAAUAAAGUUCAUUGAACUGAAAAAAGGUUCACUAAUUUAGGAAAACAACAUUGAUUUUGGAAGAAGUUCAUCAAAUUUCGAACAAAAUCUCAUAAAUUUUUGAAAAAAGAUCAUCCAAAAUUGAAAAAGGUAUAUUGCUUUCUAAAAAUAUCCAUCAAAAAUUGAAAAAAGUUUACAAAAAUUAAAACAAAUGCUCUUUGAUUUGAAAAGGCUUGUUCAUUGGAAGCAAAUUUCAUCAAAAUAAAAAAGAAUGUGCAUUUUCGAAACAGGGAAAAGGGAAAAUAAAAGCGAGUAAAGAGAAGAAGAAGAAAAGAAAAAAAAGAAAAAAAGAAAAAACAGAAAAGAACCGAACAAAAACCAAUCAAUUAAAAACCUAAACAAAGAUCAAAACCGGAUAUAGCUCCCACCGGUUGGAACGUAGUUGGGCUGGGCCAUUUCCAAACGGACGUCAAAUAACGAAAUGCACAUUAACUAACGCUGAAGGCGCCGAAUAAAGGUACCCCAAAAGAGGGGGAGCUCGGAUGGAACCUCGGGUUGCUUACGCGCAAGCCUAGCCACUCGAAUAGCUAGGCUUUCUUGGUUACUAUGGCGCGCGAAGCUAAACUUAAUGUACAUCCGAACAUUUUAUCAAAUACCGAACACGAACAUUAAUUUUUUUUAAAGGUUUUUUUUUAAGAUUUUAGAAGUUUUGGAACAAAAAAUAAAAACCUCGAACAUUUUUUGAAUAUGUGAAAAAACAAUACAUAAACCGAACUCUUCUUUCAAAAUCACGAAAAAAAAUAAUAUGUGAACAAAUAAAAUUUAAAAUGGAUUUUUUUAAACUCUGAACAAAAAUUCGGAAACGUAAAUAUUUUUUAAAUCCUUGAAAAAAUUCUCAAAGAAGAACAAAUUUCAAAUUAGUGAACAAAUCUAUAAAACUGCGAAAACAUUUCGAACUGUGCACAAAUUUUGAAACCGUAAACAUUUCACAAAUUAUGAACAAAUUUCAAAUUUGUGAACAAAAUUAUAAAAUUGUCAACAUUUUUCGAAUUGUGAACAAAUUUGGACCAAUUAACAUUUUUAAAUUGUGAACAUAUAUUGAAACAUGAACUUAUUUAAAAUUAGGGAGCAACAUUAUAAAAUUGUGAACAAUUUUGAAUUGUGGACAAAUUUGAAACAAGAAAAAAUUUCAAAUACAUGAAGAAUCAUAUAAAAUUGUGAGCAUUUUUUGAAUUGUGAACAAAUUUUGAAACCACAAAUAUUAUUCAACUUCAAAUCAAAUUUUGAAACAAGAACGAAUUUCAAAUUAAUGAACAAAAUUAUAAAAUUGUGAAUAUUUUUCGACUUAUGAACAAAUUUGGAAAAUGUGAAUAUUUUUGAAAUUGUGAACACAUCUUGAAACAUGAACAAAUUCAAAUUUAAAACAUUUUUAAAAAGCAAGAAUAUUUUCUGCAGUUGAAGAACAAUCUUAAAACAUGAACUUAGUUAAAAAAUAACUAUAGAAAAAAAUAAAUAGACAAAGAAGAAACAGAAAAACAAAACAAAAGGAGAAAAAAACGUUCAGGAAACCUCCUAGGAGGUUCGCAAAACCGAUGGAAACUGAACUUGAGCUGGCCCCAGUUUUCUCGGAAGGAUGUGUAGAGGCCCGUCUAUUUGCCACAAAAUACGGCGAAUAGGGUAUUCCCAAAAACGGUGCUAUACUACCCAUCGCAACUGGAGGAGCCCGACACGGAUUGCCCUGCGUCAAGCACCUCCCUAAAUUGGGCGGCAAGCGCGCAGGAGGCCACAGGCCACUGCCUUGUUGUUUAUUUGUUUUUUGCAUGUAUAUUGUUUUCAUGUUUUGCCUCUUUAUUCUUCUUUAAAUUUAUAAAUAUUUGAUAAUAGAAAUUAGUUUACAUAAUAUAUUGUAAACCAAUUAACUAAACAUUUAAAACAUGUGAAAUGUGUAUAGUAAAAAAAAAUCAUGCAUUUAACAAACGUUAACUGUGUAUAGAAAGUUUGUUAUGCAUACAAAAACUAUAUUGAACGGAUACAAUGUGUAUGAGAAGAUGUUCAUCAUGUAUUUAACAAUAAUAAGCAUCUAUAAAAAUGAUUAUUGUUUAUGUGAAAUAUGUAUACUGUGUGUGAAAAUUGUUUAUAGCCACUAAGUAAAUGGUCGACGUGUAUUCAUAAAUGUUGGCUUGGUAUUCAAAAUAUAUUAAAUGUCUACAUAAAAAUGUAUUAUUCUUAUAUUCAAAAUGUACAGUGUCUAUGGGAAAAUGUACAUAAAAUAUAUUAUAUUUUGAAAAUGUUACUCCUGUAUUAUAAAAUAUUAAACAUAUAUGUAUAUAUAUAAUAUUUGUGUACAUAUAAGAUUAAUAUUAAAUUUGUUCCGAUAAAAAGUUGAUAUGUGUUGCACACAAAAGAAACAGAUGAAGAUUGGCAAGGAAAAAGAAAAAAAUGCAAUAAUAACCAAAACAAGAAAUAGAAACCAAAUAAAACCAGUGCAAAAGAACGAAACUAUAAAAGCCAAGAAAUAAUAAAAAACAGAUGAAACCAAGAAAGUAGAAAAACUAAAGAAAAUAGGAUAUAAAAGAAAACAAACAAACAAACAACGAAGGGGGGGGAAGGAAAGAAAACUGGAAUUGAACAAAGAAAUUGGUGGAAAAAACAAGAAACUUGUGAAGAUGAACCGAAAUAGAAAACAAACGGAAACGUAAAAGAAUGAACAGCGAAAAACAUACACAGUCACAACUAAGCAAGAGCGCUGUGAAACAAGUCGAAAAACAUACACAGUCAUAACUAAGCAAGAGCGCUGUGAAACGAGUCGGCCCAGUAUUGUACAUAAAAGAAAAGUGCCUCAACCGAGAUCGAAGUUGCUUUCGCUAGAAGCGAGAUAUAGCUCUUGUGACCCGAUACAGUCUUAGCCACUCUGUGCAUUCGGUUUAUUCGGUUUACCUGGAUUGGUUUCAUCUGUUUUCUGAUUUGCGGUAAAUAUCUUAUCAAGUUAAGAUACGGUUUGGUUUUGACAUCUUUACUAUUUAUAAAGUUGAAGUUGGUGGUGAGUUCACAUCUGGGACCAAUAACCUUUUUCAAUAAACAAAUCCAUCCCUACCCACAUUAAGAAUAGCAAUAUUUCAUGAACAUAAAUAAACAAAUGUAUUUCUGCUCACAUCUGGGAUCAAACACAAAUAAACAAUACACUACUAUUCAUGUGAGACUAACACUUGGGCACAAAUAACAAAUGCAGAAAUACGACUCCAACUCAAUAUAAUGCUCUUGUUUUUCUUUUUCUUUUUUCUCAGCCAAGUUAUUUCAGUUUUAUAUCACAGAACAAGAGAGUGAACAGAUAGUAAUUCGAAAAUGAUGAUAGACCUUAUCCUCCUACCUAAUCCACGACCUUGUGGAGUACCAUUGUCUAUUCUCAUAUGUUUUAACAUUCGAAAUGUUGUGUUUGUAAAGGAUCAUGGUCACUUAAGAUUCUACAAUGCCUCACGCGUGAUCUUUUGUGAUAUUUUUUAUCUUUUUAAUUGUGAAGCGUGAGCAAAUUCUGCAUGGCACCACACCAUAUUUUGACAAUUUACUAAGCCAGUUAUCUAACUCCUCGCAUUUUAUAGUUUCGUAGCAACGCACGGGCAUUCUGCUAGUAUACUAAAUUAUUUAUGUAUAGUUUCGAUAUAUAACAUAAAAACUAAAGUCAACGUGAAUUUGAUAAUAACAUAUAAUAGCUUGCAAGUUUAUGACUCAAAAAUCAAAAUAUAUGCAUUUUUAUACAAAGAGUACAUAGCUAUAUGCAAGUGUAUAUUCAUGCAUGGUUUUGGAUGGUUAUCGACGUACUUAGCAUUUUUUAAGAGAAAUAUGACUACAUUACAAGAUAAGUGAAUGUGCUUAACAGGAAAUUUCUCCUGUACAAAAAGGACUACUUAUAUGGUUGUUCGCCUUAAGAUAUAUAAAUAUAAUAUUUAUUUCCGUUUAUUUGGUUAACCAUUCUGUUUUUCAGUAUAUACCAUAAAAACCAAAGUCAAAAACGGUAUGAAUAGUUCAUAACAUACCGAAACCAUAAACCAUGAAAAUCAUUAAAUAGGUUUGGUUCGGUUAAUUUUUUGAUUCUGUUUUAAAAUGAAUAGCAUGAGUCCCAUGGUAACCUAUCGAUGGCGUCGUCGUCCUUAACCAUGGCACAUCCACCUCGCUAUGGCCGACGCUCCUGACCCUCUUCAUGGCUGGUGUCGCCUCCAGCUCUAGGAGAACAUCAAUGUGCCGAUCCCAUGCUCAACAGAGGAGGCAGGGCUGAGGUUUAAAAAAGGAGUAUGUCCUUCACUAUGUUCUUGUGGUGCUAUGUGACAAUGUCUGUCACGUGUCCUCCCUUCCCAUCCAGGCCUUCCUUAAAAGACCGACAUUGUGCACGCUAUUCAUGAACGGUAAGACCCACGUGUAGUCAUUCCGGGGCACGCACCAUGAAUAGUCACAUACCACCAAUGUCAUGCCCGUGCUAGUCCCCCUGUCUCUGCCAAUGACAGCAUGGGCACGACGCAGCCUUGACUUCCGACGCUUGGUUGGGGCAUGAGCUUGUGUACACGACGCGGGCUCACAACGAGUUGUCGACUCGUCGGUCUGGAUGCUCAUAGCGUGUCCAUUGAAAUGCCGCGUACAGAAAUAGAAAGUGAGGGUUGAAAGUAGAGAUUGCGGUUAUUUUACGAUUAAAAAAUGGCUCAAAGUGGCGUCCGCAAAUGUUUCCGGACAGAAAUUUGUCGAUCCUUACUGUAGAUGCUCUCGUACGCACUGCAUCGUCAUGCGCUACAAAACCCAUUUACCCCGACUAAGUUAUCGUUCUUGUGGCCCAAACGACACAGAUAACGGCGACAGGCGAGCGUCGUCUCUCCGACAGCAUCCACAGAUUGAGGACAAACUAAAUGAAACAUAAAAUUAAUGCAACAGAAUGAGCGGAAAAUGGGGAUGGGCGAUAGGUGUGGCGAUCUCGUCGUUCGCCAGAAAAAGCAGCCAAAACAUCAUCGUCCAUGGGAUCGCCAGGCCGGGAGGACGGUUCUGGCUGCUAGCAGACAGUGAUGACGAGGAUGAGGCAACCUCUACCGGAGGUAAGUCGGCACAAAUCGCAUCUCCGACACCUUCUGAUUCCAUCUGCGGGGCAUUCCAGGUGGGAUACUCGGAGGAGGAUGUCACCCGUGUUGUAGACGAACUGGUCCCGAUGGACGAUCUAGCAAGACUAGGGCUUCGAUCUGCGGACAAAAUAGAAGUCGCGAGGAGGGUAGUUCAUCGACGAAUAGCUGCAACAGCAGUCCUUGGCAUCGGCCUCUUCCUAAGGUGCGUUUGCCGAAACUGACUCUGUCUGAUUUCAUGUUAACCCCAUGGAAACUUGUCCGGAACAAGAAACACCAGCGACGAACGGCGAGGUCGACGUCGCAGGCGGCGGAUCCGGCUAGUCGGAUAGUUGAGAUACGUUCACAGUGUUUGAAUGAGCUUGUGGGCUUCUUGGGUCAUAUCAGAUCGAGCUAGCGGUGGGCUCCAACGAGGUUGGGUAUAUGGCCCAGCCAGGAGCCCAAGACGGUUGUGAUCGAGAGUGUCGUGAUCCGGCGAUAUGUUCGCCUAGUCCGCGCCUCUCUGUUGCGUUGGAGGCGUCAGCUAGGGUUCCGAGGCGUUCCAAUCGCCCUGGGUUUCCCGCUGUGUGCGCGGGCAGGGCGAGGAGGGUUCGGCCGCUCCUAUCGGCGAGCUCGGCCAUGGUUGGCCGCGGCAGCCAACCGAUGCCACCCAGGCAUCCGUCCAACGCUGGGUCUGCGGCGACCGGAGGAGCAGGACGUGCUGGGCAGAAAGAUGAUCUGCAGGCCGCUCAGGGCCGAGGUGAUGAUGGCGGCGGAGACCGGGGAGACUUUGGCGGCGACGUCGGAAGAGGUGACUAUGGUGGCGGUGGGAGAGGAUAUCAGAUGCACAUUGAUGGGAGCAACUUCACUCCUGGUCGCUGGGGAGAUGAUGGCUAUGGUGCAUACGGAAACGAAACUCAUCGCGGCUCCACCUCUACCGGCAGUGGCCGAGGGGAGGGAGGUGGCCGGGGUUUCGUUGCUCCCACCGGGCCAUAUGUUGAGGGGGCGUCGGGUCCUAGACAGCACUACCACCCUACUAUGGCACGCGGGGAGGAGGUAGAAAGCCGGCUGGGCGUCGUGACUCUCGCUCACAGGAUCCGACGCCUACCUUGGUGUAAGUGACGGAGGGUGUACAGUCGGCGCAUGCUGAUGGAGCCGCUGCUGAUCCUGCACCGCUUUCAGGGGAAGCAUUGGAAGUUGUACGAGCUCUAACCGGGUCUAUUGCUGCUGAGGCGAAGGUGGAUGAUGGUAAGGCUGGAGGUUCUGAUAAAGGGAGCGAAAAAUCUGAUAGUCAGAGAGUCACUAAGUGGGCUAAAAAGAAAGAAAAGCUGACAUGUUUCCGAUGUGGAGGACAGGGGCAUUUUAUAGCUGAGUGUUUUGUAGAGCUGUGUGACAUUUGUCGUAAGCCGAAACAUGAGCAGGGAGAGUGCCCUUUGCUCCUCGGGCCGAAGCCUGUGGUCACUAUCUACGGGGCUUGUUGCGCAGAACUUAUGUUCUUUGAGUCUACACGCUCAAUUUCGACCACGCCGUCUCCAGAGAGUUCGCGGACGGGUGUUGUGAGGGCGACACGUGGAUCGAUGACUUCGGAUCAGGUUGUGCAGCAUAUGCGGGAGCUGGUUUUUGCAAGGUUCCAGUGGAAUCCUAUCAAGUUAGAUGAUCAUCUUUUCAGGAUUGAUUUUCCUUCUAAGGAGGAUCUUGCGAGAUCGCUAAAAUUUGGAAUGAGCAAGGUCUCAAGCAAUAAUUGUGUUCUUGAGUUUGAGGCUUGGUCAUAGAAAGAGCCUGAAGGAACUCUGUUAUCAUAGUUGUGGGUCGGGUUUCUGGGUGCUCCGCGCACGUCGAUUGAUGAUUUCUUCGUGACUUGGAGCCUUGGAUCUCUUAUAGGCAAAACAUAAAAGGUGGAUAUGUCGUUUACUCGCGCUCAAGGGGAAGCAUGAUUACUGGUUAGUGUGAUUAGCAUUGAGCAUAUUCCAGAUACUGUGAAAAUGGACUUAUGAUGGGAAGGUUUUUGACCUGGACAUUGAGCUAGAGGAGACUGAUCAAUUCCAGGAGCUGGCCGAUAAUAUUGAUAUGGACACUGAGGAUGGCAACAACGGAGACGGGAAUCGAGAUGGGGGUUCGAAGGCUGGGGACGAUGCUGAUAGCGGCAAAACGCCCUUGGCCAAACCGGGAGUGUCUGGUUCUUCGACGGAACAAACACGCACAUCCACUCCGAUGAAUCAUUUGAGAUUUGGGUCGUUCGAAUCUUCUACGGCGCAUGGCAGACUUUGGGGUGCAAGGGUGGAGAUAGAUGAUCCAGUGGAGCACGAGCUGCCACCACUAUCACCACUUGCUUCCACGGGAGACUGAGAGAUUCCAGUGUCGCCAACUCGGACCUCCUUCAAGGAGUCGCCCACAAGUAUAAUGGUUGAGGAGGUGACGGCAGCGAAGCAACGACGAUCAAGAGUGAUCACUCCCACCCCUAAAGGGGACAUGCAUGCUUUGCAGACGGUUGGGGGUUGGCAGGUGGCCACACCCCAACGGCUUCGACGAUGUGUUUUUCUGCCAAGGGGGGCGCUACUGAGACUAACCCACUCUUGGGUCUGCUGGUGGGGCAUUCUUCAGGUGGUCACGACUACUCUUCCAGGCAAAUGACUGGUGAUCGUGUGUCCGUCGGCACUGGGCAGUCCAACCACGUUACACAGGAGUCCGGCGGCUUCCAUCUGCAGGAGCAUACCACCGAGGAGGUCAUCACCUUCGGAGGGAUUCCAGACCCGGCGACUGGAGAGAGGAGGACGAGUAGCCGUCUCCAGGCGCAGCCGGAUGUCGACGAUCUUCAGUUGGGCCGCUCCAUGCAGACGACCCAGCUCCAUGACUGUGAGACCACUACAAGUAUGUUCGUUGAUACAGAAUGUUCUAUCUUGCAUCUUUCCGAUGAUGAUAUUAUAUUACGGGCAAACUAAAUCGGCGUAUCUCUGGAUAACAAUGAAACAGAAAUAUCAAAGUUUGUUAAUGAUCUCUGAGAUUUAGAGGCUGAGCCAGCUAUGGACAUGCUUCGAAAUCUUGCAGCAGUUAAAUCCAUGAAUGAUUCUGAUAUUAAUGCGAGGCUUUAGACUCUCUUUGUGAGGAUCUUAGGACACCAUCUCUAUUGACUGAUGAGGGUAACGAUUAUGGUGUGGAGGAUUAUAUGGACCCUAUGCAACUUAAUGCAUCCGCACAGUCUGAGAGCGGUUAUAUGGACCGGAUGGCUGAACCGGAUAGGCACAAGCGCCCAUGGAAGCGCAAGGUCUAUCCUGAAUCUGUAGUGCGCAGAAGCGCGAGACUUAAGACUGCAAGAAAAAAUUGAUGAUAAAUGAGAGGAAUCUUUUGGAACAGCAGAGGUCUUGCGGACUUGGCUAAAAGAAGAUUUCUUACAGAAGCAACGUUAGAGCACAAGUUAGAUUUCGUUGCUUUAUUGGAAACCGGUAGAGACAAUUUUACGUCACAAUUUCUUAGCACUCUCUCUAGCCGUAUUGAAUUCGAUUGGCACUGUCUACCGCCCAGGGGAAGGUCGGGAGGGAUCUUACUUGGGGUACGUUGCGAGACUCUCGAGGUUCGGAAUGUAGUGUUCAGGGACUUCGCGGUAAAAUUUCGAGUGCGAUCGAAAGUGGAUGGGUUCGAGUGGGCACUUGUGGCUGUUUACGGGGCCGCCUAGCUAGAGUUAAAAAUGGAUUUCUUAGCCGACCUCGUCCGAAUCUAUGGGUAUGAGAGGUUACCGACUUUGGUUGGGGGAGACUUCAACAUAAUUAGGCGGAGGGAGGAAAAGAAUAAUGACAACUUCGAUGAAAGAUGGUCAUUUAUGUUUAACACUAUUAUCGAAAGCUUACACCUGUGAGAAAUUGAGAUUUCGGGUAGAAAGUUUACGUGGGCGAAUGCCUUGCCUACUCCAACUUUUGAGAAGUUAGACCGGAUUCUCACCAGUGUGGAUUGGGAAAAAAAAUUCCCUCUUGCAAUCGCUAGAGCUUUACCAAGAGCGAUCUCGGAUCACACACCUUUGCUUGUUGACUCUGGUGAUGCUACACAUGUGGGCAACAAGAAUACUUUCUCUUUCGAGAAGGCUUUGUGGACCUUAUAGCAAGAGAGUGGGCUAAGGCUGCUCGGGGCUCAUCGAAUGUUGAUCGAUGGCAGAGCAAAAUUAGGCACCUAAGACAGUUCUUAAGGGGAUCAGCCAAAUAGAGAGCGGGAGGUAUAAGAUUGAGAAAGAGAGACUCCUCAGUCUUAUUAAUGAGUUAGACUUAAAAGCCGAGUCAGCGUUGUUAGAUGACAAUGAGAGGUCAUCUAGAACACAAGAUGAAUUGAGUCUUAAACAACUUCUUCGAGAAGAAGAGUUGAAAUGGGCACUUAGAGCAAAAGUGUGUAACAUCGUAUAUGGGGAUGACAAUGCACAAUGCUUCCAUCUCAUUGCAAAUGGUAAACACCGAAAGAAAAGAAAUUUCCAACUAGAGCAAGACAAGGGUAAGAUUGUGGGCCACGAAAAUCUAAAGAUAUACAUCUCUGAGUUUUACAAACGUCUUUUUGGGGAGCCGGAUGACAAAUUUGUGUCAAUGGCCGAGCAGAUGGUGGGUGAUAUUCCUCGGCUCGGGGUGGACGAGAAUGAGAUAUUAACCGCACCGUUUACGGAGAAAGAGGUGUUUGAGGCAAUUUCGUAGAUGAAAAAUGAUAAGGCUCCAGGACCGGAUGGAUUCCUGGCUCAGUUUUAUAAGAGGUGUUGGCAUAUAGUGAAAGGGGACUUACUUCCAAUGUUUCAAGACUUAUUCAAUGGCCAACUCUAGCUUUUUCAACUUAACUUUGGGACAAUUUCAUUGUUGCCAAAGAAGGAGGAGGUGGUGCGGAUUGAACAGUUUCGACCAUUUGCCUUCUCAAUGUGAGUUUUAAGAUCUUUACUAAGGUCGGGACGAACAGAUUGUUGCGGAUUACGCAGGCGGUGGUGUAGCCUAGCCAGACUGCAUUCAUGCCGGAUAGAAACAUACUAGAGGGUGUGGUUGUCCUACAUGAAACACGGCAUGAGAUUCACUCGAAGAAGCUGGAUUGGGUGAUCUUCAAGGUGGAUUUUGAGAAGGCAUAUGACAAGGCUAAAUGGCCAUUCCUACAACAAGCCUUACGUGUGAAAGGAUUUGAUGAGGUGUGGAGGAAACACGUCGAAUCAUUCGUACAAAAAGGAAGUGUUGGAAUUAAAGUCAAUGAUGAUAUAUGGCAUUUCUUCCAAACACACAAAGGUCUUCGGCAGGGAGACUCAAUGUCACCCAUCCUAUUUAAUGUAGUUGCAGAUAUGUUGGCAAUACUUAUAGGGAAGGCUAAAGAGGAGGGCCGGAUAGGUGGAUUAGUACCUCAUCUAGUCGAUGGUGGUGUUUCCAACUUACAAUAUGCUGACGACACUAUUCUGUUCAUAGAACAUGAUAUUGCAAAAGCCAGAAACAUGAAACUCAUAUUGUGCUUAUUCGAACAGUUGUCGGGUCUGAAAAUUAAUUUUCACAAGAGUGAAGUGUUUUGCUUUGGGAGAGCCAAAGACGAACAAGGUUCAUAUAAACAACUGUUUAGAUGUGAAUCGGGAAGCCUACCGUUCAGAUAUUUAGGAAUUCCAAUUCACCACCAUAAGUUAUCAAACAAAGAAUGGAAAAGUGUUGAGGAUCGUUUUGAGAAAAAAAAAUAGUUGUUGGAAGGGUAAGCUAUUAUCAUACGGAGGAAGAUUGAUUCUCAUUAACUCGGUUCUCACGAGCAUGCCGAUGUUCCUUCUGUCCUUCUUUCUGGUACCGGUCGGGGUACGGAAAAGAUUGGACUUUUAUAGAUCACGCUUUUUCUGGCAGAGUGAUGAAGUUAAGCAAAAGUACCGGCUUACUAGGUGAGAUAUUAUUUGUAGACCUAAAGACCGGGAAGGUUUGGGGAUUCAAAAUUUAGAGAUAAAGAAUAGAUGUCUGCUAAGAAAAUGAUUGUUAAGACUUUCUCUGGAGGGGGAGGGUAUGUGGGUGCAAAUUUUGCAUAAUAAGUACUUACAAACUAAAACUCUACCUCAGGUUACCGUGAAACCCAAUGAUUCACCUUUUUGGAAAGGCUUAAUGACAGUGAAAGCAGCCUUCUUUCAAAAAGCAAAAUUUAUUGUAAGUGAUGGUAAGUCAAGGAGAUUCUGGGAGGAUACAUGGCUGGAGGAUACGCCCAGGACAGGCUUUGGCCCUAGGCGGACAUGGGCGGCGCCCAAGGGGCCAUGUUUUGCAGGGCCCAUCAUUAUAUAUGUAUACGUGCUUCUAUAUGUGUUGGAUUGUACCUCGGCCUUCUAUACGUCCUUGAGCCUAGUUGCGUCGCUUUGGGGUACGUACGCCUUGGCCUCCUGCCUAUUUCCUUGGCGCACGCAUACCUGGGCGUAACUUAUAUUCCCUCCGUCCCGAAAUAAGUGUCGUUGAUCUAGUAUAAAAUUUGUACUAACCUAGUACAAAUUUUGCGACACUUAUUUUGGGACGAAGGGAGUACCUGUUUGGCUGUUUCUUUCGACGCCUCGCCGCCUCGGCCUCCUGGCUUCGCCCCUUCUCCCGUUCGCCGCCCUUUGCGGCUUCUGUUUGGCAGUGGAGAUCAGCCAUGGUCUGCAGCUACAGUGGAGAUCGGCAGCUGUAGUGGAGAUCGGAAACUGCUUUAUUCAUGAAGAUUGCAGAGGAGCUAUUUGGAGAUCAGCAGAUUUUUUGUGAAGCACUGAAGUAUUGUUGUUCAUGAACUCAUAUGAACUUCGUUCUUAUUUGAGGUAAUUAAACUAGCAGCGAAUAUUAUUUUUAAAAUUUUGUUACUCUUUUAUUUAUUGUCAUCGUUAAAUUACAAUGUAUGGUCGAAUGUAAACUUUAAUAUUUUGCGUUUAUAUAUCUAUAAAUGCGUAUAUAUAUUAUCUAUAGGGGUCCAUUUUUUAACUUUGUCCAAGGGCCCCGAAUAAUAUAGAGCCGGCCAUGGAUAUGCCUCUAGCCAUACAAUAUCCAUCUCUUUAUAAUAUUGUUCAACGUAAGGAGGCAUACGUUGUCACAAUAUUACAGUCUAAUCCUUUAAAUAUUCAGUUUCGAAGAUCUUUAAUAGGUAAUAGAUGGGAGGCAUGGUUGCAUUUAGACAUUUCUAUUGUUUGGGACGUGGCUAAAUGGGGUAGACAUUUCUAUUGUCAGACAUAUUCGUAUAGGAGUAUGUGCAUUAAUUUGGGCUAUAUGGAAUUGCAUGAAUGAUGUGACUUUUGACAGAUUAUCAAAUGUCAAUUUCUUGCAGGUACUUCACACGGCAUUGGCGCUGAUCCGUAUAUGGUCGUUACUCACACCUGCGGAAACCAGGGAGCAUUUGGUUACUGGGUCUAUCCGAUGGGAGAUGGUAGCACUGGGUAUCUACAACCGGUUUGGAUGGUGGUCCAGUAAUAGGAUAGAUGGUUAGGUGUCUAUGUCUAUUUUUUAGUCGGUUGUGGCAUUUUUAUUAUCCCUUUGUGUAUUUCUUUAUUAUUUUUGGAGCUUGUUCGAAACUUCUCGAUGCUUUUUAAUUACUUAAAUGAAAUGACUGAAUGCAUCGUUUUGAUGCAGCGGUCGGAGGAAACCUUUUUUCUAUAUAAAAAAAACAGUUCUACCCAACCGCAUCCCACGGCCCUGUAGAUGGAACAAGCAAACAAAGCCCGUGGCGUCAAGAACGAGGGCGUACAGGCGCCCGCCGGACGCGUGUCGAGCCCCGACUGGCCGCCGGGUCGCCGCCACCGGGGCCCGCCGCCGGCGGUCCCCGGUCCGCCUCGCAUGGUCCGCCCUCCGCCCCUCGUCGCUGUCCGGAGAGAGGGAGGGAGAAAAAGAUGAACAUCACGUCUCGCAGUCGCAUCCAUCCAUCCACGCUUGACCUUCCGCUGCUGCUGCUACUUUGAACCCUCUCCACAAUCGGCCACAAGUGGAUAAUGGGCGAGGGAUCCGCGCCAACUUGUUCCGGAAAAGAAACAGCGACGGCGAGCCACGAUCGCGCACGCGCGCCAUCCGUCCCCGUUUUUCCUCACCUUUCUCCGCACGAAACCGCCGUCGCCGUCGCCGUCGACAAAUCAUGCGUGCUCUUAUCGCCGGUCAGAUGAUUUUUUUAUCGCCCCGGCCGUGCCGUGCCGUGCCGUGGAAUGGAAUGGAAUGGAAUUAGCCCCGUUUUCUUGUGCGGCGAUCGAAUUAGCUGGCCACCUGUAGAAAUUUUGUUUGCGAGUAGUUCCGGUCAGUCAGUGUGAAGAUCGGGCCAGGGAGAAGGAGCGAUUACUAGUAGCCAAAUUUCCAGCCCUGGUUUAAUAUGUGUGCAACAGCGACGUGCGUGGUCCACGGCGCUCCACGGAGGCCGGCGUCAGCACGAUGCGGCUUUGCUUUCGUUGAUUUGAUUAGAAUUAUGGGCCGGCUCAACAUCAUCUUCCUUGCUAAUACUACAGAUAGGAGUAGGAACUUUCUUUCGCGCAUACAUAAAUAGGUGUUGUUGACAAGUACCAACACCCCACAUGGUAUGAUUUGAUUUCCCCUCCCAUAAACUAGGAGCAUCGCUCACCUGGUUUGUGACCGAACGAUGUCAUUGGACAGGACGCGUACACUCAACUUCAAUUCAAGAUAUACAAUGACAAUAUACACACCUUUGAGGCCAUUUUCCGCACCCAUCCCCCUCUCUCUAACCAAUACCCGAAAUCCACCCGCCUCCGUAGACGCGCCUCCACAAGGCUAUCCAUCCGCUUUCACUGCAUCUCCUGUCGUCGACGAGUUGCAUGGCAGGCCAGAGUCGACGCUGCGCUCGCCCCCAUAAGGUUGCACGUAGUUGCUUUACCCUUCCUCCUCCUCCCUCCUAAUUGUCACGGAUUCAUCGAAGAUGCGUCGGGAUAUGGAGCACGUGGUGCGACAGAGAUUCCCUAACGAGUCGGAGUAGUCGGAGCUCGUCGACGUCAUUCGUCUCUCCAUUGGCGGAGCCACGCUAGUAGUAGCUGGAAAUACCCAUAUCAAUAGCGCUGGUGGCAGUGCUACUGAUAAGGCGCUACAACUAAGUUUUAACAGUAGCGCUCUUCAACCAGCGCAACUGGUAAGUAUAGUUAGCAAUAGCGCUGCACGGAACAGCGCUGCUACUAACUAUCUGUAGUGUUGCCCAUAACAAGCGUUGCUGAUAAUCCAGCGCUCCUGCCAGCACUAGUAGAAAACACACCUUUCGUCCGUACCUUUAGUCCCGGUUUGAUUUCGGCCCGGGACUAAUAUGACCAUUAGUCCCGGUUCCAACGGCUAGGAGCGGUCGGUGGCACGGGCACCUUUAGUCCCGGUUCAUCUUGUACCUAUAGUCUCGGUUUGUGAGACAAACCGAGACUAAAGGUGUGGUGGGCUGGUGGCACGCGAGCGUCAGGCUGGGCCCCCCAUGAGCCCAUUUAGUCCCGGUUUGUAUAACUAACCGGUUUGUAUCACAAACCGGGACUAGAUGGAUCCAUUUAGUCCCGUUUGGUUAUACAAACCGGGACUAGAGGGAUUCAUUUAGUCCCGUUUGGUUAUACAAACCGGGACUAAAGAUCUUUCUAUAUAAGCCCUUCGUCCAGACCGAGCCCAUUUAUCUGUUUUCUCAAUUCCUCUCUAUGUUCUUCCCCUUAGCUCGAGCUCAUCCUCCAUUUUUUUGCCAAGAUUUGUCAAGAUUUGGGACACCCCAUCUCUCCAAGUGUUCACAAUGGUUAGCAACUUUGUCCUUUCAUCUCUCAUUGGUAUAUUAGCUCAUGCAAUGCUCUAUAAGUAUAGUGAUUUGUGGGUUUUGGUUUGGGGAGUAAUUUUAUAGGAGUUUAUCUGAUUUAUGUGCAAUCUGAGCUAAAAUUAACUUCUUAGUGCCUUCCUGUCCCCGUCCUAACCACCAUUGAUCGUUCGUACCGUCCCAUCGCCGGCACCACCUUGGAGAUGGGUUCAUCGUGUGGGAUAAUUGCGCUCGCAUACCCACCUCCGGGAGCGUUGCUGCGUGGGGUUCGCCCUCCACGCCAUCACUAAGCUCGCCUCGUCCAAAUAGGUGGACAACACAGGCCCCUACCUCAGUUUCAUCUACUCAUCAGGCGGGACCAAGGAUUCACUGCUUCAACGUUGAACCGCCCCUAGCCUAGGGACCGAGGUGAGCUCCCAAUCCGUCUAUCCUGAUUGCGUAGAGAUCGAAUAGAUGCAUUUCGUAAUUGCGAUUUCCUCACUUCACCAAUCGACCGCUAUCCAACAUGCAUCUAUGUUAUUAAGUUCAUAACAAACAAAGUAAUUCUUGGAGCAUGAUGACAUAAUGUAGACAAAAUAAGAUCAAUUAAUAUGUUCAAACCCCGUCAUUUUAUCCUUAGUAGCAACAAUACAAAUAUGUGUCUCGCUACUAAUGGUGUCACAGAGUGAGGGCACCGCAAUAUUGGACCUACUACUAUGCAUCACUUCCUAUGAAGAUAUACUCAUCAACUUGCCAAAGAAAACUCAUAGAUCGGAAGGCAUAUAUAGCUACAUGAAAUCACACAUAAUAAAUCUAUGAAUAGACCCAAUUACUUUCAAUGAAUAAUCCAAUCAUAAACUCACAAUUCAUCGGAUCCCAACAAACACACCGCAAAGAUUACAUCGAAUAGGUCUUCAAAGAGAUAAUUGUAUUGUAGAGAGAGAGGGGGGGAGGGAGAAAGGGAGGGAGUAAGAGAGAGAGGGACAGGGCAGAGGAGGGAGGCAGAGGGAGAGAGAGGGGGGAAAGGGAGGGAGAGAGAGAGAGAUGUUGGAAAUUUUCCCUAGAGGCUCUAUGAUAAACCAAUUGAAGAUAUUGUGCUUUGAUGCUCAAGUUGUGUUGCUACUCUGAUGUUUAAGGGAGGGAGAGGGGGGGACAGAGAGAGUUUUUGUCCAACGUGGUACUUUGCAAAGCAAGUACCACCUAGGCUCCUCCAUUUGAGCUGCAAUUUUGUCAAGACAGUCUCCUUAGUAGAUGAUCAUCAUCAACCAAAACUUAGGCCCAUUGGCCAUGUGCAUUUCCCCCAUCACUAAUAAAACAACUGGCUGCUAAUUCAUGUUUGAGCUUAGUUCAAUCUCCUCGUGAGAUUCUUCUGUUGUCAUUUUCUUCCUAACAUCUAUCGGUGGAGUGCCUAACCCACCAUACAUGCCUAGGACGCCCAGAAUGCGUGGCAAUACCACACUCACGCGAUUGGCAUGCUAAUUUACGCGCUCUAGAGUUGGGGCCCUCGGCCACUGUCUACGCGUUUGUGGGAGUUCUUGAGAGAAACUCUACCAGGUUUACUCGCUCUCGCUCUUUUGACCAAAGAAAAUCAUGAUUCGAGCAAGUCUUGAGCAUUUCCCCAUGAACUUAUUACUCUUAGAGGUUGAAAUCUUUUAGGCUGUAGGAGUUCUUCGAAGAGGAAACAUUCGGUGUGAUUAUCCGUGAAAAUUUUGUGAAGGUUUGAAGAUCACUUCAAGGCCUAUCACUAAUGGUUGAGAAUCGCCUCAUGGUGACAUGUCAAGGGAAGAAUAGGGUGAGACUUCGUGACGUUGGUGUGUCUUCAUGGUAGCAUCCACCCCUCUAAGGGUGACCGGCUUCCCUCCAAGAAAGUGAACAUCAUGAAUUCAUGAUACAUCUUUGUCCGUGGAGUUUUGGUUAUCCCUAAAUCUAACUCUCUACUUGUGGUUGUUUGUCUUUUGUCUUUCGCCUUUACUCAUAUCAUAUUGUGGUUGCUUGCAUCAUCUUGCAAUUGUUAGGAUCACAUUCAUAUUUCACAUAAUUUUCUAAGUUGCUAAAUAAUAAUUAAAUUUAUAACUUUACCUAUUCAUUUUUCUAGGUCCAUCUCGAUCUUUUGACUGACAAGGUGUCGUUGGAAAGAGAAGAAUUCUACAAAAGAAAACUCUUGUGCGUUGAUUUCAGCAGUCUUAAAAUAAUGUGUCGGUUCAGUCUAUCGAAGAUGCUCUUAUUAAAAAUCUGUCGGACCGGUUAAAACCGCAAUCUGGUAAAAAAAUCGAAAUUUACAUGUAAUGACAGAGAGAGAAGGAAGGCAAAAAAGAAAAGAAAAAAAGGUUGCGCUCGUAAAAAGGUUGGUUGUAGGAGCAGCAGCAGUGUGCAGUUCCCUGUCGCGACUGUCGUACGAAUAUCACGUGGAAACGCGGAUACAUAUGGCUGUGGUUCCUCCUCCUCCACCCCGCGGUCCCCUCUGCCGCUGCACCGCUCCGCCCCGCCCGCCUGCUACUGCUACUGCUACCUGCACCCGCACCCACACCCAUCCCUCCUCCUCCACUUGACCCGGUGCCGGUGGUACCACCUCCUCCCAAGGCAGCAGCGGAUACAUACGAAGCGGGAGCUAUAGCCCGCGCGCGCAGGCCUGUUCGGCCAUGGCGUACCAGUACCACCACCACCAGGACCACGCGCUGGGGAUGGACGCGGCGGCGGCGGCGGCGGCGGGGGGGAACCCUGGCGGCGGCGGCUUCGCGCCGGGCUUAAGCGCGGGCGGCGCGUGGGAGGGGGAGAAGGCGGCCGUCGAGGCGCACCCGCUGUACGAGCGGCUGCUGGNNNNN
rnacentral:lncRNA from 1 species